rnacentral:rRNA from 1 species
AAUAUUGCACAAUGGAGGGAACUCUGAUGCAGCAACGCCGCGUGAGUGAAGAAGGUUUUCGGAUCGUAAAACUCUGUCAUUGGGGAAGAAUAAAUGACGGUACCUUACCAGCAAGCCACGGCUCACUACGUGCCAGCAGCCGCGGUAAUACGUAGGUGGCAAGCGUUAUCCGGAAUUAUUGGGCGUAAAGGGAGCGCAGGCGGCUUAUUAAGUCUGAGGUUAAAGUUCGGGGCUCAACCCCGUGAUGCCUUAGAAACUGCUAGGCUAGAGUGCAGGAGAGGUGAGUGGAAUUCCAUGUGUAGCGGUAAAAUGCGUAGAGAUGUGGAGGAACACCAGUGGCGAAGGCGGCUUUCUGGUCUGUAACUGACGCUGAGGCGCGAAAGCGUGGGGAGCAAACA